GUUUUUUGUUAUUGUUGUUGUUUGUUUUUUUAAUGUGACAGCAUGCCUUUUUAAGGUUGUCUGUUACAUUUCACUUGUAAUUAAUUAAGAAUUGGCCAAAGAAGAAUUUCAGAUGAACAGUAUCAAAAUAUAGGUGUACUGCUGAGAAAGAACUGUACCUUCUUUUCCCCAAAAGACAGAGGAGAAACUUAAAUGCUAGUGACCCUUCAAGGAUUAAAAAAUAUAUAUAAAGUAAAAAUAAGUCAUGACGGACAUGAGAAAAGCAGAGGAGGAAGCAAAGAGAGGAAUGAGGAAGGGAGCGCCUACUUGGAUCAAAAAACUGGUUAAAUAGUGCUAGGAUAUCAGCCUCCCUGCUAUCAGCAAUGAUUGGAAUUAAUCCAGGAAUUCAGAAUGGGUCUGUAAAUGUAUCUUCAAUUGUAGCCAUUGGCAUAGAUUUAUAUUCUCAGUCCCUUGGGCAUUGAAUUUCAUUUCCCCAUUUGCUAAAUGAGAACAAUUUAUCCUAAAUCAACGAUAAUCAGAGUAAACACUAUUAUUAAUUUAUUGUUUCCAGACUAGCAAAAAACAGUAAAAUGAAGCUCUCUUCUUUUAUCAGUGCUUUCCCUACCCCUUUUGCCCUGAGGAUCCUAUUAGCAGAAAGCUGAGCAACUCUGUUUCAUCAGAAAUAAAUUAUGCCUCACUUUUUUUUUAAUAAUUACUCAAUGAGUGAAUAGUCACCAGUCUUGAAGAGAACAGAAGAAAAGAUUGAUUUGCUAGGAGGCACAGGUCAUGCUGAUCUGACUGGGCAUGCUGUAUUUAUGUACCUGGAAGUCUGUAGGUCCCUGCUGGCCUCAACUUGUGCACAUGUGGGGGAGCUAAGCCCACAGGGGGUUCACUCUGUGAUGAAGUGUUGCUUGGAGCUGGGACUCUCACCUUCUUUGGAUAAUGUGGCUGGAUUCCCUUCAUCCCCCGACAUGGGAGAAAAGACUCCUUGGCAAAGUGUAACAAUCUCCCUAACUCGAUCUCUCGUGGGACUCACAGACUCCCAUCAACUGCACACUGACAGCAAAUCUAUUCCAGUACUUUUGGGAGAAUAAGAAUUGAUGCUAGCUUGGUGAAAGCGAUAAUGUGGCAUCCUUUUAGUCCUAUUCUUUCCUCACUUCUGGUGAUGUGAUUUUGUUACUAACACUGAGAAACUAAGUAGGGAGUGGAGAAGAUGGUGUCACCCUCAAAUCAGCCUGUCUUUGUCUCUGAGCAUAGUUUAAGGCAAGAGAUGCUGAGAUGCUGUGAUAGUAGUGGCACUGCCUAGAGUUGUGUAUAUUAAAGAUCCUUAAAUUCUCCCUGUGUAAUACUUUCAAAACAUCCCAAAAGUUUCUUCCAGCAGUGGGGUUGUGGGAGCACAUGUAUAUCAUUUUCUAGCUGUUUGUUGUGGUUUUGGGCUUUGUACUUUGGCAGGGUCAAAACUGAGCUUCUGCUUUUCACAGGUCCAUUGUCACCAAAAUUACCCACAUUUUGUCCUGUUAGCAUGUCCUAUGCAUUUCUGUACCAUCAUGACGGGGAACUUUGAUAGUGUGGAUUUUUUUUUAUAAGUUACUUCUUUACAGUAAGCCAACAAGCCUUGUCACUAUUCAGACAUGAAAGGGGAACCUUACAAAAGUAACCAAACCUGGACCAUGCAAGAAUUACACAUAGGAAGACAUGUAUACAGGCCAAACUCCAGUUUUAUCAGCAGAAUUCUAGCAGCUUUUGCUUCAUGUUCUGUAACCAGCUAGCUCGUUCUAAGCAGCCUUCCAGCACUGUUGAACUUCCAAAGUCAGUGUUACCUGGUGGCUUCCAAGGAAUACCUUUACAUAUAGGGUGCUCUGUCUGUCAGCCAGGCCGAGGGGGUCCUGCAGACUGGAGGUGAGCUGAGCCUUGUUGAGAAAUUUUACAGCACUUCACUGGACUGCUCUGGGCCAUUAGUCUUGUAGUCUCCUUACUGCAUACAGAUUACAGUGUGUUUGUAUUGACGGAGUUCUGUAGAUAUUAACACUGACUUUUUUUGACUCAGAAGAUGAAUUGUGGUAGUUAAAGGGUCAUUGAAUUAGGGCUUGAGACACCUUGUACGGUGUUAACCCUGGUGGGCAGCUGAGCACCGCCCGGCUGCUUGCUCAUUUCCCUAUGCUAGAAGGGGAGAGGAUCAGAAGGGGAAAAGUGAGAAAACUCCUGGGCUGAGAUAAGGGCAGUUUAAAAGGUAAAGCAAAGGUUGUGUGCACAAGCAAAGGAGAAUAAUUGACUUUGUCCCCUUGGCAGGCAGGUUUUCAGCCACUUCCAGGAAGCAGGGCUCCAACAUGCAAACACUGUGACCCUGAACGUCCCCCUUCCUUCUCCUUUCCCCCAGUUUUUAUUGCUGAGCACAACAUCUCAUGAGACAGAAUAUCCAUGGAGUCUGUUGGGGUUGGAAGUCCUGGCCAUGUCCCUUCCCAGCUCCUCGUGCACCUUGCUGGGAAGUAGAGAGAGCAACAGAGAAGCCUUGAUACCCUGAAAGCUCUGGUCAGCAACAGCCCUUGUGUGUGCUCAACACUGUUUUCAUCACAAAUCCAAAACAUACGCGUUGCAGUGAAGAAAAUUAAUUCCAGCCCAGCCAAAACCAGUAUACAUCUUUAGCUGCUAUUUUAUUCCAUAUUAAAAAUAAUUUGAAUCGAAUGUGUUUUAGGUUUGUUUUAGUCUUGAACAUAACACAGAUUUCUCACUUAAAUGGCAGUCCAGCUUUCAAACACCUACUUUCUUUUCUGAUGCUAAUAGUAGAACAGCAUACUAUACCUAAGAUACCUACUGCAGGUAUCAUAUUUUCUGUUUUAUGGAAAAGCUCUGAGGCUUGUUAACAUUCUUGAUAAGUAAAGGUAGCUUUUAUAUGAAGAAAUAAAAAUAAGAAAAUAAAUUAGAUAAAAUUUAAA
rnacentral:lncRNA from 1 species